rnacentral:rRNA from 1 species
AUUGAACGCUGGCGGCAGGCCUAACACAUGCAAGUCGAGCGGCAGCGGGAAAGUAGCUUGCUACUUUUGCUGGCGAGCGGCGGACGGGUGAGUAAUGCCUGGGAAAUUGCCCAGUCGAGGGGGAUAACAGUUGGAAACGACUGCUAAUACCGCAUACGCCCUACGGGGGAAAGCAGGGGACCUUCGGGCCUUGCGCGAUUGGAUAUGCCCAGGUGGGAUUAGCUAGUUGGUGAGGUAAUGGCUCACCAAGGCGACGAUCCCUAGCUGGUCUGAGAGGAUGAGCAGCCACCCGGGAACGGAGACACGGUCCAGACUCCUACGGGAGGCAGCAGUGGGGAAUAUUGCACAAUGGGGGAAACCCUGAUGCAGCCAUGCCGCGUGUGUGAAGAAGGCCUUCGGGUUGUAAAGCACUUUCAGCGAGGAGGAAAGGUUGAUGCCUAAUACGUAUCAACUGUGACGUUACUCGCAGAAGAAGCACCGGCUAACUCCGUGCCAGCAGCCGCGGUAAUAC